UAGCCUACGGGGGGCAGCAGUGGGGAAUAUUGCACAAUGGGGGAAACCCUGAUGCAGCGACGCCGCGUGAGUGAGGAAGCAUUUCGGUAUGUAAAGCUCUAUAAGCAGGGAAGAAAAUGACGGUACCUGACUAAGAAGCCCCGGCUAACUACGUGCCAGCAGCCGCGGCAAUACGUAGGGGGCAAGCGUUGUCCGGAUUUACUGGGUGUAAAGGGAGCGUAGACGGAGGAGCAAGUCUGA
rnacentral:rRNA from 1 species